rnacentral:rRNA from 1 species
AGCGUUGCUCGGAAUCACUGGGCGUAAAGCGCACGUAGGCGGAUCUUUAAGUCAGGGGUGAAAUCCCAAGGCUCAACCUUGGAACUGCCUUUGAUACUGGGGAUCUCGAGUCCGGAAGAGGUUGGUGGAACUGCGAGUGUAGAGGUGAAAUUCGUAGAUAUUCGCAAGAACACCAGUGGCGAAGGCGGCCAACUGGUCCGGUACUGACGCUGAGGUGCGAAAGCGUGGGGAGCAAACAGG